rnacentral:tRNA from 1 species
CCCCAUGUGGCUCAGCGGUAAAGAAUCUGCCUUCAAAGCUGGAGACCAGGGUUCAAUCCCUGGGUUGGGA